AUGUUGGCGGCUCGCCGCCACGCCGCCUCCACCCCCUCUCCGCUCCUCCUCCGGCGCCUCUCCGCCCAGCCGCAACCCAAGGCCCCUCCCCCGCCGUCGGACGAGGGGGCCGCAGCGUGGGCCCGUCGCGCGGUCGCGCUCUCGCUGCUGGGGCUCACCGGCGCCGUCGCCGCCAGCGCCUUCAGCGACCUCUCCGUCUUCCUCUCCUGCUCCAGCCAGGCAAUGGAGAAGGCUACCAAGAACCAGCAGGUAGCGAGCGCGAUCGGCGAGCCCAUCACGCGGGGUCCCUGGUACAGCGCGUCCAUCGCCGUGAACCGCGCGAGGCGCUCCGUCUCCUGCACUUUCCCUGUGUCGGGGCCCCAAGGCGACGGGCUUCUCAAGUUCAAGGCUGUUCGCUUGGGAGAGGAAUCAUGGUUUCGGUUUCUACAGCGCAGCGACUGGGAGAUACUCAUAAUGCACGCCAUCCUUGACGUUCGCACCGAAGAUGGGAAGCACCAAACAAUGAGGGUGAUGGUCGCAGACAACACGGCAGCUCCACCACCACCAGCUGACUGCAGGACAUGCAAGCCCCGUACAACGCCGACACCAAAGCCAAAGCCUACACCAGUGCCGACGCCGAUGCCUACAUCGGCGCCACCUCCGGCUCAGGAGAAGUGA
rnacentral:rRNA from 1 species